GGGUAGUGGUUCUAUAAAAAAGAAAAAUGCUCUCUGGCUGUUUGCAGAGGUCAGAGAAAGUGAAAGGUGUAUUUAUUGAAAUGCUCUCUUGGAGGGCAAGGAGGAAAAUAACGAUAUUUUAUUUCCAGGGCAUGUGUCUGUGUGUGGUGGCUGGCUGUAGCCUACGUGUCGUCUCCUCUUUUCUCUUAAGCCUCGAUACUUAAGAAUCAACCGAGCGCUAUCCAUCUGCUCGCAUUCUGCUGCAAACCAAGAUGAGCCACCAGCACAACAACCAUCACUUCACGUUAAUUUAACCUCUAUAUCUCUGACCCACCGGUCUGUCGCGGUCCAUGCUUUGCCUGCCUGAGAUGCGAUUUCAUUCUCCCUUUUCCCGGAGAGUAUCGACCGUUACACCCCACUGAAAGAGCAUGUCUGAGACCGGGGCGACGGGAGCAGCAGCUGCAGCUGCCCGUAUCAGCUCCUCCGACAGCAGAGACUGCACGGAGGGCUUUUUGCACAAACACCGAUCGCAACGCGAGGGAGAAAAGACAGAUCCAAGUGCUGCCUCCUCGCAGCAAACGUCCUCCGGUGUACUGGGUGCAUUACCACCACCAACUGGACUGGAGUGUGGACCUCAGUUCUGCUUUCAAUCUCCCACGUGGAUAUAUGCUCCUAAAAACCAAUGAGGAGAUGGGAGAGGCGGGACUUGAAGCGCUUAAAAUGUUAAAAAAUAGCACAAAGUCCUAUUUUAGCGCCUAACGACGCAAACACGUGCGAGCAGUUUGGAUUAAAUAAUUGAAUAACAUGCAUGUGUAAAUGUAUUUUGCAACGCUCACACACACGUAACGUGAGUGGUGUGGUCAGCAUGUAACUCACCCUAGAGGUGUUUCUGUGUGAGUACUGAAUCCAAAUUUAGAAUCUAUUGUUAAUAUGUAGUCUAAAAUUCCAUGGAUUGACAGAGAAUACAUUUUUUUUGGGGUCACUACAUAACAUAUACUUGGAAAAAGUCCCAGCAGAACCUAUUUGUAGUUUAUGAAUGCUGUUAUGAAUGUGUAAUAAACAUGUUAUGAACUGUUCCUGGUUUCAUGAACGCACAUUUAUGUAGUCAGAAUUUUGUUAUAAAUGUGUAAUAAGCAGUUAGUUUCAGGUCUGUUUUGCAGUAUGAAUAUGAGAUAAGUUCCAGGUCUGUUUAGUCAAAGUUGACAUCCCAUCUGUUGUCCUGUGUAUGCAGUAAUUUAGUAUGUGACAUGUUGGCGUUGCACAGCGCAUCACGCUCUGGAUGUAGACCCCAUGAAAGCACCCCUAAACCUUGUUCACAUGUGCUGACCCACCCCCUGAGUCAACCCCCAGGAUUCAAUAUGAUGCUCUCAACCACUUAAUAUACUCUGAAGUGUCUGUGAAUACAGCUAAACUACAGAAACCUGAGCUGUAGUGCUCAGAGUGUGAUAGUAUUUUAAGUCUCAGUGAAAUUGAAUUACUUUGGCUGAUGUCACUGAGAUCGGGACCGAGGGGAAGCUCGGGACCGAGGGGAAGCUCGGGACCGAGGGGAAGCUCGGGACCGAGGGGAAGCUCGGGACCGAGGGGAAGCCCGGGACUGAGAGGAAGCCCAGUACUGAGAGGAAGCUCAGGCAGGUAGUUGGCUCUGGCAGAUCCUGGCUGACUGGCGGUUCUGGCAGAUCCUGGCUGACUGGCGGAUCCUGGCUGACUGGUGGAUCCUGGCUGAAUGGCGGAUCCUGGCUGGGGCUGACUCUCGGGCUUCCUUCCGCGCCGCCGUGCUUGUCUCUUCAACUCCAUUCUCCUAUAACCCUCUUCGCACUGCUCCAGUGAAUCCCAGGCGGGCUCCGGCACUCUCCCUGGGUCGACCGCCCACCUGUCUAUUUCCUCCCAAGUCGUAUAUUCCAAACUUUGUUGCUCCUGCUGCCGCUGCCUGGCACCACGCCGCUUGGUCUUGUUGUGGUGGGUGAUUCUGUUACGGUUUUCCUCUAUCUCCUCCUCUGACGAAGAGGUGUAGCAAGGAUCGGACCAAAAUGCAGGGUGGUAAUUUUGAUACAUGUUUAAUUAACGAAUAAAC
rnacentral:lncRNA from 1 species